AACGAACGCUGGCGGCAGGCUUAACUCAUGCAAGUCGAACGCCCCGCAAGGGGAGUGGCAGACGGGUGAGUAACGCGUGGGAAUCUACCUAGUUCUACGGAACAACAGUUGGAAACGACUGCUAAUACCGUAUACGCCCUACGGGGGAAAGAUUUAUCGGAAUUAGAUGAGCCCGCGUAAGAUUAGCUAGUUGGUGGGGUAAUGGCCUACCAAGGCGACGAUCUUUAGCUGGUCUGAGAGGAUGGUCAGCCACACUGGGACUGAGACACGGCCCAGACUCCUACGGGAGGCAGCAGUGGGGAAUAUUGGACAAGGGGCGCAAGCCUGAUCCAGCCAUGCCGCGUGAGUGAUGAAGGCCUUAGGGUUGUAAAGCUCUUUCACCGAUGAAGAUAAUGACGGUAGUCGGAGAAGAAGCCCCGGCUAACUUCGUGCCAGCCGCCGCAGUAA
rnacentral:rRNA from 1 species